UCCCUGUUGGCAAGAUUUGAAGUAUUGUCUCGUCGCAAAGGUCACAUCGUAACGUUGCAAAAAAUCCACAUCGAUCGAUCGAGGACAACUGGGUAUAAAUAGAGACGAGCCGCUCGUCCCAGGGUGAGUCCUGCGCUAUUCCUGACAAAAUGAUGAGAACCGCCUACCUGCUGGUCGUGUCCGUAUGCCUGCUGUUGGCGUUGGCUUCGACGGAGGCGGAAGCGCGCCCGCAGUUCUUCGACGCCGUCGGCGACUUCUUCGAGAAUGUCGGCGACGGAGUCGGUGACUUUUUCGAAGGCAUCUUCUCAGGUUGAGUAAUAAGUCUGACUACGGGAGCAACCAGUAGAACUCGAACGACACUGGUCUCCCGCCAUUUGCCACCUCUCAAUCUCGACGAGGCCAUUCGUAGCAAUAACCUCCGACUAAUCGUUGACUAACAGAAGAAAAUGACGUGAUUUUUCUUGAAAUAAAUAAACAUAUAUAUAUAUACACACUAAAUAUAUAUUAAACCUGUCUGUGAUGUUCAAGAAUUGAUAUUAUAUCGAAAAGAAAAAUGGAUUAACAAAGAUUAUUUACCAAA